rfam:Felis catus isolate Cinnamon breed Abyssinian chromosome E1, whole genome shotgun sequence.
GCCUGGGUGGCUCAGUCGGUUAAGCGCCCGACUUGGGCUCAGGUCACGAUCUCGCGGUCCGCGAGUUCGAGCCUUGCGUCGGGCU